GGCUCAGAACGAACGCUGGCGGCGUGCCUAACACAUGCAAGUCGAGCGAGAAAGGGGUAGCAAUACCCCGAGUAAAGCGGCGCACGGGUGAGUAACACGUAGGUAACCUACCUCUAAGACCGGGAUAACUCGUCGAAAGAUGGGCUAAUACCGAAUAAGACCACGGGGACCAAAGUUCCCGGGGUAAAAGAUGGCCUCUAUUUAUAAGCUAUCACUUGAGGAUGAGCCCGCGGCCCAUUAGCUAGUUGGCAGGGUAACGGCCUACCAAGGCGAUGAUGGGUAGCUGGUCUGAGAGGACGAUCAGCCACACUGGAACUGAGACACGGUCCAGACUCCUACGGGAGGCAGCAGUGGGGAAUAUUGCGCAAUGGGCGAAAGCCUGACGCAGCAACGCCGCGUGGGGGAUGAAGGUUCUCGGAUUGUAAACCCCUUUCGACCGGAACGAAUCCCCUCCUGGUAAAUAAUCAGGAGGAUCGACGGUACCGGGAGAAGAAGCCACGGCUAACUCUGUGCCAGCAGCCGCGGUAAGACAGAGGUGGCGAGCGUUGUUCGGAUUUAUUGGGCGUAAAGCGUACGCAGGCGGUUUGGUAAGUCAGAGGUGAAAGCCCACAGCUUAACUGUGGCACUGCCUUUGAUACUGCCUUUCUAGAGUGCAUGAGGGGGAAGCGGAAUUCCGAGUGUAGAGGUGAAAUUCGUAGAUAUUCGGAGGAACACCGGUGGCGAAGGCGGCUUCCUGGCAUGUAACUGACGCUCAUGUACGAAAGCGUGGGGAGCAAACAGGAUUAGAUACCCUGGUAGUCCACGCCCUAAACGAUGGGCACUAGGUGUGGGAGGUAUCGACCCCUUCCGUGCCGCAGCUAACGCAUUAAGUGCCCCGCCUGGGGAGUACG
rnacentral:rRNA from 1 species